CCCUAGUAUGGAGUUUUAUAAAAAAUUAGUAGUAAUAUGGAAAUUAAUAAGUUUUGGCGGUUAAUUAUAUUAUUAGAGGAGCUUGUUUGAAGUAGAUUUUACUCUUUAUAUUUUAUUUUUUUUUAGUUUAUUCAUCUCUGUUAUUAGAUGAAAAUUGAUUAUAAUUAUUAUUAUUAUUAUUAUUAUUAUUUCAGGUCAAGAUGUAGCUUUAAAACAGUAAGAAUUAGCUACAAUUAUGCAAUUAUAUAUUAUUAUACAAUUUGAAAUACAAGUUAUUACUUAUUUGAAUUUAGUUGUAAUUUUAAUUAGAAUGUUAUUAUGAUUUUGAAUAAUUAGUGAA
rnacentral:rRNA from 1 species